rnacentral:rRNA from 1 species
CAGUAGCCGCGGGAAUAUGUAGGUGGCAAGCGUUGUCCGGAAUUAUUGGGCGUAAAGGGCUCGCAGGCGGUUUCUUAAGUCUGAUGUGAAAGCCCCCGGCUCAACCGGGGAGGGUCAUUGGAAACUUGGAAACUUGAGUGCAGAAGAGGAGAGUGGAAUUCCACGUGUAACGGUGAAAUGCGUAGAGAUGUGGAGGAACACCAGUGGCGAAGGCGACUCUCUGGUCUGUAACUGACGCUGAGGAGCGAAAGCGUGGGGAGCGAACAGGAUUAGAUACCCGAGUAGUCCCUGUCUCUUAUAC